GACGAACGUUGGCGGCGUGCUUAAUACAUGCAAGUCAACUGAAGCAGUGGUAGCAAUAUCGCUGUGGAGGUGGCGCACGGGUGAGUAACACGUAGGUAAUCUGCCUUCAGGUCUGGCAUAACUCCGGGAAACCGGGGCUAAUAGCAGAUGAUGCAGCGGCUCGACAUCGAGACAGUUGUUAAAGCUAUGGCGCCUGAAGAUGAGCCUGCGUCUGAUUAGCUAGUUGGCGGGGUAACGGCCCACCAAGGCAACGAUCAGUAGCUGGUCUGAGAGGAUGAUCAGGCACACUGGAAAUGGGGAACGGGCCAGACUCCUACGGGAGGCAGCAGUAAGGAAUAUUGCUCAAUGGGAGAAAUCCUGAAGCAGCAACGGCGCGUGAGGGACGAAGGGCUUUUGCUUGUAAACCUCUGGAGUGAGAGAAAAAAAAUCCCAAUCUUUGGGACAUGAUGGUAUCUCAAAAGUAAGCCCCGGCUAACUACGUG
rnacentral:rRNA from 1 species